rnacentral:rRNA from 1 species
GAUCAUGGCUCAGAUUGAACGCUGGCGGCAUGCUUUACACAUGCAAGUCGAACGGUAACAGGUUAAGCUGACGAGUGGCGAACGGGUGAGUAAUAUAUCGGAACGUGCCCAGUCGUGGGGGAUAACGUAGCGAAAGUUACGCUAAUACCGCAUACGAUCUACGGAUGAAAGCAGGGGACCGCAAGGCCUUGCGCGAACGGAGCGGCCGAUGGCAGAUUAGGUAGUUGGUGGGAUAAAAGCUUACCAAGCCGACGAUCUGUAGCUGGUCUGAGAGGACGACCAGCCACACUGGGACUGAGACACGGCCCAGACUCCUACGGGAGGCAGCAGUGGGGAAUUUUGGACAAUGGGCGAAAGCCUGAUCCAGCCAUGCCGCGUGCAGGAUGAAGGCCUUCGGGUUGUAAACUGCUUUUGUACGGAACGAAAAGACUCUGGUUAAUACCUGGGGUCCAUGACGGUACCGUAAGAAUAAGCACCGGCUAACUACGUG